rnacentral:rRNA from 1 species
AACGCAUUAAGUGCUCCGCCUGGGGAGUACGCACGCAAGUGUGAAACUCAAAGGAAUUGACGGGGACCCGCACAAGCAGCGGAGCAUGGGGUUUAAUUCGAAGCAACGCGAAGAACCUUACCAGGACUUGACAUCCCUCUGACAGUCCCUUAAUCGGGAUCUCCCUUCGGGGCAGAGGUGACAGGUGGUGCAUGGUUGUCGUCAGCUCGUGUCGUGAGAUGUUGGGUUAAGUCCCGCAACGAGCGCAACCCUUAUCCUUAGUUGCCAGCAUUUAGGUGGGCACUCUAAGGAGACUGCCGAUGAUAAAUCGNAGGAAGGUGGGGAUGACGUCAAAUCAUCAUGCCCCUUAUGUCUUGGGCUACACACGUGCUACAAUGGUCGGUACAAAGGGCAGCGAAGGAGUGAUCCGGAGCAAAUCCCAAUAAAUCCGUAUCUCA